AUUCCUUCUGCACUUGUCGAAAAAUCACGCGAAGGUUCUCUCUCACUAAGUGUGGGUGAAAAUCCAUAUCUAUGUGAAUCUGGGCAAUGCAACGAGAAGGAAAAGAAAAACACUGUCACACCCAUAGUAGCUUCAGUAUGUGGGUUUCUAAUUCUUCUAAUAGCCGUUGCUAUAUUGUGGAUCCUUAAAAGAAAAAAAUCAGAAGUUGAAAAAUUUACAG
rnacentral:sRNA from 1 species